rfam:Tardiphaga sp. Vaf07 contig_5, whole genome shotgun sequence.
AACACGGGGGUGGCGAUCCCCCCGCGAGGCGACAUGCCCAAGUAUCGCGUCCUGAAUUCACCAAGGGCGCAGCAUG